rnacentral:pre_miRNA from 16 species
AAAGUGGAAUGCAGCGAAGGAUGACUUGCCGACAGUACAGAACAAGGCGGUAAACUUUGACAUGAUUGCCACUUGUCCGGUAAGUCCGUCCUUGCCUACAUCUUACUCUCU